GAUGAACGCUGGCGGCGUGCCUAAUACAUGCAAGUCGAGCGAACGGACGAGAAGCUUGCUUCUCUGAUGUUAGCGGCGGACGGGUGAGUAACACGUGGAUAACCUACCUAUAAGACUGGGAUAACUUCGGGAAACCGUAGCUAAUACCGGAUAAUAUUUUGAACCGCAUGGUUCGAAAGUGAAAGACGGUCUUGCUGUCACUUAUAGAUGGAUCCGCGCUGCAUUAGCUAGUUGGUAAGGUAACGGCUUACCAAGGCAACGAUGCAUAGCCGACCUGAGAGGGUGAUCGGCCACACUAGAACUGAGACACGGUCCAGACUCCUACGGGAGGCAGCAGUAGGGAAUCGUCCGCAAUGGGCGAAAGCCUGACGGAGCAACGCCGCGUGAGUGAUGGAGGUCUUCGGAUCGUAAAACUCUGUUAUUAGGGAAGAACAUAUGUGUAAGUAACUGUGCACAUCUUGACGGUACCUAAUCAGAAAGCCCCGGCUAACUACGUG
rnacentral:rRNA from 1 species